GACGAACGCUGGCGGCGUGCCUAAUACAUGCAAGUAGGACGCAGUUGCGAACGGGAGAGUAACGCGUAGGUAACUACCUAUUAGAGGGGGAUAACUAUUGGAAACGAUAGCUAAUACCGCAUACUAGUAGCUGGACCUGCGUUGUAUUGGCUAGUAGGUAGGGUUAGGGCCGACCUAGGCAACGAUACAUAGCCGACCUGGGAGGUUGAUCGGCCGCACUGGGACCGAGACACGGGCCAGACUCCCACGGGAGGCAGCAGUAGGGAAACUUCGGGAAUGGGGGGAACCCUGACCGGGCAACGCCGCGUGAGUGAAGAAGGUGUUCGGAGCGUUAAGCUCUUUUGUUAAGGAAGCGGUACUUAACCAGAAAGGGACGGCUAACUACGUGCCAGCAGCCGCGGUAAUAC
rnacentral:rRNA from 1 species